rnacentral:rRNA from 1 species
AGAACGAACGCUGGCGGCAAGCUUAACACAUGCAAGUCGAACGGUUGUAGCAAUACAGCAGUGGCAGACGGGUGAGUAACACGUGGGAACCUUCCUAGGGGUACGGAACAACUCAGGGAAACUUGAGCUAAUACCGUAUACGUCCGUGAGGAGAAAGUUUUAACGCCCCUAGACGGGCCCGCGUAGGAUUAGGUAGUUGGUGAGGUAACGGCUCACCAAGCCUACGAUCCUUAGCUGAUCUGAGAGGAUGAUCAGCCACACUGGGACUGAGACACGGCCCAGACUCCUACGGGAGGCAGCAGUGGGGAAUCUUGGACAAUGGGCGCAAGCCUGAUCCAGCCAUGCCGCGUGAGUGAAGAAGGCCUUCGGGUUGUAAGCUCUUUACCGAGGACGAUAAUGACGGUACCUGGAGAAUAAGCCCGGCAAACGUUCGUGCCAGCAGCCGC